GGGCUGGUGAUUCCUGAGGGAGCCCUGCCCCCUUCCAGGGUGAAUUUUCCUAAGUCACCAUGGAGAACCAGCAGCCCAGAAUCAGUGCCCUGCCAGGCAGAAUUGCUUGGCCAUAACAAAGAUCCAUUGCCUUUCUGAUGACACCCAGCACCUCGGAUUCUGUAUACACGGGAGGUGAUUUAAGCAUCUUACUGCCACCCUGAAAUCUGGGGUCCUUUAUCCUGGCAGGGCUGGUCGUCCUUACAGGAUUUUCCCUUGUUCUCAGCAUCUAGACCCGUAACGCCCACUUCAGAAUGGGAGGGAGGAUGUCUGCUGCCCUGUCGUCUCCACACCCGAGGAAUGUCCGUGUGUGUGUGUGUGUGGUGUGCACAGCGGGCUGCACACAGCGGGCUCCACGGUGCUCGAAUGGAGGCCCUAAUGUGAAUGGAGACUAGCCUGCUGGUAGAGACCUUGGCAGUGACCGCUGUGGGCAAUGAGCCAUGGGCCAACAAUAUUCAAUGCUGUGUACCUGAUGGAUGGUUACUGUCUGAGACUGAGGCUUUUUGGGCCAGGAGUAAAAGGACUUGGUUUGUACUUGAUUGCGUCCUGUGGAUGCUUGCCUACCAACUGACUCAUCCUGACGUGCCAAAGGUCCUGGCUUUCCCCUGUGUGGAGCAUCACUAUCAAACAGUUCACUGUGGACUCCUCGUAGCAGAAGUACAGUAGGGGACAGCAAGUGUCAGCUCCAUCAGGACCCCUGAUUUAAUUAUUUACUGUGGAACCAUUGUCCUGAGUCAGGAGGAUAGAUGAGGAAAGAAUGAGAGCGUGGCUGGCAUCGCUUCAUGAUUACAUUCUGGGAAAGAUCUUGCCUGUUAACCUCUAGAGAAGGAGGGACGAUACAGACAAUGAAGACUAUAGCAGACUGAAUUACUCUCUGAGAUGAGGACUUUGCUAUUGCCAUUGCAGAACCACUGGUGGAAGUUGUUGUUAAACAGUGGGUCUUGCAUGCAAGCUCUACAGUUAUGCACAGUAUUUCCAUGACAUCCCAAGCCAUGAGGUUCAUGCUGCCAUAUCCCCCUGUUUAACAAGUGUGGAAACUGAUAAUGGACUCACAAUUGCUGAUGUAUAGGUUCUAAUGUUUUCUAUUGUGGACACGGGACACCCAGACUGAGAACCAAUGGCUCCAGUCUGAUUUAAACAUGGGUCCGUGCUCACACACUCAAUACCUACCCUCUGUGCUC
rnacentral:lncRNA from 1 species